rnacentral:rRNA from 1 species
AUUGAACGCUGGCGGCAGGCCUAACACAUGCAAGUCGAGCGAGCGGCGGACGGGUGAGUAAUGUAUGGGGAUCUGCCCGAUGGAGGGGGAUAACUACUGGAAACGGUAGCUAAUACCGCAUACUAUCAGAUGUGCCCAUAUGGGAUUAGCUAGUUGGUGGGGUAACGGCUCACCAAGGCGACGAUCCCUAGCUGGUCUGAGAGGAUGACCAGCCACACUGGAACUGAGACACGGUCCAGACUCCUACGGGAGGCAGCAGUGGGGAAUAUUGCACAAUGGGCGCAAGCCUGAUGCAGCCAUGCCGCGUGUAUGAAGAAGGCCUUCGGGUUGUAAAGUACUUUCAGCGGGGAGGCGUUACCCGCAGAAGAAGCACCGGCUAACUCCGUGCCAGCAGCCGCGGUAAUAC